CCUAUAAGACUGGGAUAACUUCGGGAAACCGGAGCUAAUACCGGAUAACAUUUAGAACCGCAUGGUUCUAAAGUGAAAGAUGGUUUUGCUAUCACUUAUAGAUGGACCCGCGCCGUAUUAGCUAGUUGGUAAGGUAACGGCUUACCAAGGCGACGAUACGUAGCCGACCUGAGAGGGUGAUCGGCCACACUGGAACUGAGACACGGUCCAGACUCCUACGGGAGGCAGCAGUAGGGAAUCUUCCGCAAUGGGCGAAAGCCUGACGGAGCAACGCCGCGUGAGUGAUGAAGGGUUUCGGCUCGUAAAACUCUGUUAUUAGGGAAGAACAAAUGUGUAAGUAACUGUGCACAUCUUGACGGUACCUAAUCAGAAAGCCACGGCUAACUACGUGCCAGCAGCCGCGGUAAUACGUAGGUGGCAAGCGUUAUCCGGAAUUAUUGGGCGUAAAGCGCGCGUAGGCGGUUUCUUAAGUCUGAUGUGAAAGCCCACGGCUCAACCGUGGAGGGUCAUUGGAAACUGGGAAACUUGAGUGCAGAAGAGGAAAGUGGAAUUCCAUGUGUAGCGGUGAAAUGCGCAGAGAUAUGGAGGAACACCAGUGGCGAAGGCGACUUUCUGGUCUGCAACUGACGCUGAUGUGCGAAAGCGUGGGGAUCAAACAGGAUUAGAUACCCUGGUAGUCCACGCCGUAAACGAUGAGUGCUAAGUGUUAGGGGGUUUCCGCCCCUUAGUGCUGCAGCUAACGCAUUAAGCACUCCGCCUGGGGAGUACGACCGCAAGGUUGAAACUCAAA
rnacentral:rRNA from 1 species